rnacentral:rRNA from 1 species
UACGUAGGGGGCAAGCGUUGUCCGGAAUCAUUGGGCGUAAAGAGCGUGUAGGUGGCUCGGUAAGUCCGCUGUGAAAGUCCAGGGCUCAACCCUGGAAAGCCGGUGGAAACUGUCGAGCUAGAGUCCGGAAGAGGCGAGUGGAAUUCCUGGUGUAGCGGUGAAAUGCGCAGAUAUCAGGAGGAACACCGAUGGCGAAGGCAGCUCGCUGGGACGGUGCUGACACUGAGACGCGAAAGCGUGGGGAGCAAACAGG